rnacentral:rRNA from 1 species
CCUGGCUCCGUACGAACGCUGGCGGCGCGCCUAACACAUGCAAGUCGAACGAGAGAGAAGGAGCUUGCUUCUUCGAUCGAGUGGCGAACGGGUGAGUAACGCGUGAGGAACCUGCCUCAAAGAGGGGGACAACAGUUGGAAACGACUGCUAAUACCGCAUAAGCCCACGGGUCGGCAUCGACCUGAGGGAAAAGGAGCAAUCCGCUUUGAGAUGGCCUCGCGUCCGAUUAGCUAGUUGGUGAGGUAACGGCCCACCAAGGCGACGAUCGGUAGCCGGACUGAGAGGUUGAACGGCCACAUUGGGACUGAGACACGGCCCAGACUCCUACGGGAGGCAGCAGUGGGGAAUAUUGCACAAUGGGGGAAACCCUGAUGCAGCGACGCCGCGUGGAGGAAGAAGGUCUUCGGAUUGUAAACUCCUGUUGUUGAGGAAGAUAAUGACGGUACUCAACAAGGAAGUGACGGCUAACUACGUGCCAGCAGCCGCGGUAAAACGUAGGUCACAAGCGUUGUCCGGAAUUACUGGGUGUAAAGGGAGCGCAGGCGGGAAGACAAGUUGGAAGUGAAAUCUAUGGGCUCAACCCAUAAACUGCUUUCAAAACUGUUUUUCUUGAGUAGUGCAGAGGUAGGCGGAAUUCCCGGUGUAGCGGUGGAAUGCGUAGAUAUCGGGAGGAACACCAGUGGCGAAGGCGGCCUACUGGCCACCACUGACGCUGAGGCUCGAAAGUGUGGGUAGCAAACAGGAUUAGAUACCCUGGUAGUCCACACCGUAAACGAUGAUUACUAGGUGUUGGAGGAUUGACCCCUUCAGUGCCGCAGUUAACACAAUAAGUAAUCCACCUGGGGAGUACGACCGCAAGGUUGAAACUCAAAGGAAUUGACGGGGGCCCGCACAAGCAGUGGAGUAUGUGGUUUAAUUCGACGCAACGCGAAGAACCUUACCAAGUCUUGACAUCCCUUGACGGACAUAGAAAUAUGUUUUCUCUUCGGAGCAAGGAGACAGGUGGUGCAUGGUUGUCGUCAGCUCGUGUCGUGAGAUGUUGGGUUAAGUCCCGCAACGAGCGCAACCCUUAUGGUCAGUUACUACGCAAGAGGACUCUGGCCAGACUGCCGUUGACAAAACGGAGGAAGGUGGGGAUGACGUCAAAUCAUCAUGCCCUUUAUGACUUGGGCUACACACGUACUACAAUGGCGUUAAACAAAGAGAAGCAAGACCGCGAGGUGGAGCAAAACUCAGAAACAACGUCCCAGUUCGGACUGCAGGCUGCAACUCGCCUGCACGAAGUCGGAAUUGCUAGUAAUCGUGGAUCGGCAUGCCACGGUGAAUACGUUCCCGGGCCUUGUACACACCGCCCG